GCAUUGGUGGUUCAGUGGCAGAAUUCUCGCUUGCCAAGUGGGGGACCCGGGUCCGAUUCCCGGCCAAUGCA